AGAGAGGAGGAGAGAAGCGUUGGCAGAAGAAGAGGUGAAGAAAAUGUGGGAAUUUCAGGUACAGUUAGCAUGAUGGAUGGCAGUGGAGAAGGGGUUCUUAUGACGAAGAAGAAUAAGCAACUAGGAGGGCGGAAGGGCUCCAAGAAUAAGAAGAGAAAGGUUGGAGAAAAUGGGGAAUCACCAAAUGCAGCUGGCAUAGGCAAUGACUGUGAUGCGAU
rnacentral:misc_RNA from 1 species